AACCAGGAAGUUCACGCCUCCUUCCUUACCAUGACGCGAAAUAUGUCCAAAGCUCGUUUUGAACCUGGAUCUCCUGCUUAUAAAGCAUAUGAUCUAACCACUGCGCCACGGCCGCACAAUAUUUGGCAUAACUUUUUUGUGAAUCAAGAAGCUCGUUUUGAUCAGUUUAGAAAAUUAAAAGGUUUAAAGAAAGAUAAGCGCUAGAAAAAGAAUGAGCUAAAACAAAAGAAGGCAGAGACACCAACAAAAAGCUUUGAAGUUAAUGAUAGUGAAGAGGAGGCAGAUAAUUAUAAAAAUCUUUGCAGCUAAAGACAGUGAAGAAUCGAGUCGAAGUACUGUAGCCAGCUGGGCUACGCUCACUGGAUGAAUUGCAAAUUAAAACUGAUUUAAUACAAAGACGGCAUAAGAUAAUCAAACCAGGUAAUAAAACAAUUCACUCUAUGGAUCCUAUGGGAGAACAGAUAAAUUCCAUCAAAAAAGAAGAAGUGAAAUGGAAUAGUUGUUACUUACAACAAAGAUAUGGUGUUUCAGAAAAGUUUGAAAUAUUAACAUUACCACAUGCCAUACAAGCUAAAGUUUGCUGAAAGUUAUACAAAUGGAGAAGUAUUGGUGCGUUUCUUUCCACAUGUAGAAGUUAAUGCAUAUAGAAAGAGAGAUAAAGGAGGUCAGAAAAGUUGGCAGAAUAGUUUGUGUCGCAUUUGUGGAAGCUAAAUUGGUCAAAAAACUAGAAAAAAUCAAAAAAAAGUUAAAUGGAUCAAAUGUGAUAUUUGCAUCCAAAUCGAUGGUACCGUAUAAGAUGCAUUGUUUUUAAAAAUGAAACUUUAUUUUGUUGUGAACAUAUUUAUAUAUAAAUGUAAUAAUAAA